rnacentral:rRNA from 1 species
UGGGGAAUUGUUCGCAAUGGGCGAAAGCCUGACGACGCAACGCCGCGUGGAGGACGAAGAUUUUCGGAUCGUAAACUCCUUUCGAUCGGGACGAAUGACUGGUGAUCCAAUACAUCAUCAGAGUGACGGUACCGAGAGAAGAAGCCCCGGCUAACUCCGUGCCAGCAGCCGCGGUAAUACGGGGGGGCAAGCGUUGUUCGGAAUUACUGGGCGUAAAGGGCGCGUAGGCGGCCUGCUAAGUCACACGUGAAAUCCCUCGGCUCAACCGGGGAACUGCGUGUGAUACUGGCGGGCUUGAAUUCGGGAGAGGGAUGUGGAAUUCCAGGUGUAGCGGUGAAAUGCGUAGAUAUCUGGAGGAACACCGGUGGCGAAGGCGGCAUCCUGGACCGAGAUUGACGCUGAGGCGCGAAAGCUAGGGUAGCAAACGGG